GUAGCUUUUUGAUUUUAACCAUUUUGUAAUUGUUGAUUUGCAAUCGUAGUAAAGUUUUGGGUAAAUAUUUAGGCACCUAUUUACUUUGUUGUAAAUGUGACUAGACUUCAAAUUGUAUUGUGAGCGUGCAAACUUGGUUUUAGUUUUAGUUAUAUUAGCAACUCCUCUUUUUAGGGUUCCGUAGCCAAAUGGCAAAAAACGGAACCGUUAUGGAUUCGUCAUGUCUGUCUGUUUGUCUGUCCGUCCGUAUGUCACAGUCACUUUUUUCCGAAACUUAUAAGAACUACAUAUACUGUUGAAACUUGGUAAGUAGAUGUAUUCUGUGAACUGCAUUAAGAUUUUCACACACAAAUAGAAAAAAAAAACAAUAAUAAUUAUUAUUAUUUAAGUUUUGGGGGUUCCCCAUACUUAGAACUGAAACUCAAAAAUUGUUUUCUCAUCAAACCCAUACGUGUGGGGUAUCUAUGGAUAGGUCUUCAAAAAUGAUAUUGAGGUUUCUAAUAUCAUUUUGUUCUAAACUAAAUAGUUAGCGCGAGAGACACUUCCAAAGUGGUAAAAUGUUGAACGAGAUCUAGUAAGUAGUUUGUUUUUAAUACGUCAUAAAUCGUA